UGGGGAAUAUUGCACAAUGGGCGCAAGCCUGAUGCAGCCAUGCCGCGUGUAUGAAGAAGGCCUUCGGGUUGUAAAGUACUUUCAGCGAGGAGGAAGGCGGUAAGGUUAAUAACCUUAUCGAUUGACGUUACUCGCAGAAGAAGCACCGGCUAACUCCGUGCCAGCAGCCGCGGUAAUACGGAGGGUGCAAGCGUUAAUCGGAAUUACUGGGCGUAAAGCGCACGCAGGCGGUCUGUCAAGUCGGAUGUGAAAUCCCCGGGCUCAACCUGGGAACUGCAUUCGAAACUGGCAGGCUAGAGUCUUGUAGAGGAGGGUAGAAUUCCAGGUGUAGCGGUGAAAUGCGUAGAGAUCUGGAGGAAUACCGGUGGCGAAGGCGGCCCCCUGGACAAAGACUGACGCUCAGGUGCGAAAGCGUGGGGAGCAAACA
rnacentral:rRNA from 1 species